AACACUGUUAACCUGCGGUACCUGCGGAAGGAUCAUUAAAAACUCUUUUUCCCGCGGACUUUUUUGUCCAAGGCGCAAAAAGACCCACACCUGUGUGCACUGUUAUCGUUUCUUUGGCAGGGGCUUGGGGUGGUUUUUUCCCUCCAACUUCUCCUUUGGCUCUAUCCUUCGGGACAGCUGGACAUGGGAAGCAGUUUACCCUGCCAAGUAAACCUCAAAACACGCCUUUAUUGUCUGAAA
rnacentral:misc_RNA from 1 species